GAAAUGCGAUAACUAGUGUGAAUUGCAGAAUUCCGUGAAUCAUCGAGUCUUUGAACGCACAUUGCGCCCCCUGGUAUUCCGGGGGGCAUGCCUGUCCGAGCGUCAUUGCUGCCCAUCAAGCACGGCUUGUGUGUUGGGUCGUCGUCCCCUCUCCGGGGGGGACGGGCCCCAAAGGCAGCGGCGGCACCGCGUCCGAUCCUCGAGCGUAUGGGGCUUUGUCACCCGCUCUGUAGGCCCGGCCGGCGCCUGCCGAACGCAAAUCAAUCUUUUUCCAGGUUGACCUCGGAUCAGGUAGGGAUACCCGCUGAACUUAAGC
rnacentral:misc_RNA from 1 species